GGGCCUUUAGUUCAGUGGUAGAACGCAUCCAUGGCAUGGAUGAGGUGGGAGUCCGAUUCUCCCAAGGUCCA
rfam:Parcubacteria bacterium GW2011_GWA2_44_13 TW28_C0019, whole genome shotgun sequence.